rnacentral:rRNA from 1 species
AGAAUCAACGCUGGCGGCGUGCCUAACACAUGCAAGUCGAACGAGAAAGUGGAGCAAUCCAUUAGUAAAGUGGCGCACGGGUGAGUAACACGUGACUAACCUACCCUUGAGUGGGGGAUAACCUAGGGAAACCCGGGCUAAUACCGCAUAAUACCUUCGGGUCAAAGGAGCAAUUCGCUUAAGGAGGGGGUCGCGGCCGAUUAGUUAGUUGGCGGGGUAAUGGCCCACCAAGACGAUGAUCGGUAUCC